UGAUUGCGAGGCAGGCAGUAGAGCCAAUCAGAGGAGAGCAUCGCUGUCUAAGUCCCGCCUACAGCCUAAGCUCUUCCUGUGGCGGUACAUUUAUAUUUUCAUACACUGUACACAUACUGCAUGUCAUAUUCAGGACCUUAGCUAGGGAUUUUUAGAACUACUGAGGUCAAAUCCACUUCACUCCACCUAUUCCUCUGAGAAAAAAAUUACUUGUCACUAAAUUCGAUCAUAUUAAUGUGUACUGCCAGGAAUUAGAUCCAUUUCUGGUGGGAGUCAUGCGGACUGCUUAGUUUCUUCAUUUUGUCAUCAUAACUAUUACAAGGUGGUUUCAAACAGAAGCAAAAAGUUACAUUUGUAUGUUCAAGUACAACAGCCAAAGUUCUAAAAAAAAGAAAAAAAAAGACAUGAUCUCACUUUUCUAAACAGUGGUGACAGCCCUGAUUGUAGUAAUGCAAUAAUAAUAUAUCUUCAUUUGUGUAGCACUUAUCAAAAGAAAGUUACAACAUGCUUCUCACAGCAGAAAAAGAUCACAUAAAGUAAAAAAUAGUAAACUAAAAGUUGAAUUAAAUCAAGGAAUGUACAAAAAAGUAUACAACCAAGAUAUAAGAUGACAUAAAUAAGAUGCCAUAAAUACAAGCACUAAACAAGCCACAAUAAAAUCAGAAACAGCAGAACUUAUCAACAGAAUAACCAGUCAGAUAGAAGCAAGCAACGCAGAGCGAACAAAUUAAGUUUUAAGUUUUGAUUUAAAAGAAGCCACUGAUUCAGCCUGACUUAUUUCCUCGGGCAUUGCAGGCUCUGCUCACAAACAGGGUAGUACUCAGAAAAACCAGGGCACCAGUCCAUGUAAUAGCUUUUAAGUAAUUAAAAGAACUCUAGUAUCAGUUCUAAAACUUACUGCAGUCCUCUACCAGAGAACUUGUGUCUACUUUCCAGCUUACCACGUGACAUACUUGUAGAAAAAUAUUUUACUUGUCUCUUUGUGAAAUAUCACAAAAUAAAAAGUAAGAAUGUCCAUCCACCCAUUCUCUAUAUUCUCUCUCUAUCGUGGGGGGUGCUGGAGCCUAUCUCAGCUGACUCAGGCAAAGGCAGGGGACACCCUGGACAGGUCACCAGUCUGUCGCAGGGCUACAUAUACAGACAAACAAUCACACUCACACCUACGUGCAAUUUAGAGUAAUCAAUUAACCUCCACAUAUUUUUGGACUGUGGGAGGAAGCCGGAGUACCCAGAGAAAACCCACGCAUGCACAGGGAGAACAUGCAAACUGCAUGCAGAAAGAUCCCAGGCCCACUCCAGGAUUUGAACCGGUGAUCUUCUUGCUGCAAGGCGAAAGUGCUAAACACUACCCCAACUCAGUUCUCUGCUGGGAAACCUUGACUCUUGAAACUGAACGCUACUAAGACGUACCACCGAUUUAAACAUAGCUGCAGACAAAGCAGCCACAACAUACAUGAACUAAAAGAUCUGCUGCCAACAUCUCAGUGAUAGAUACCACUGGACACCCCAGACGUCAAGUGCCUACACCACGACGGACAGCACAAAGAGAACCUCCAUAAUAACUGCACGGGUCCCAUAAAUGUACAGGUGAACAUUCUUUUAACAAAACCAUAUUAAUCCUCUUUUACACCUGUAAGCUGUACAGAGCAAACACAACUCAAUACUUCUAAAAAGAAUUAUGAAAUAAAAGAAAACAAGUGGACCUAAA